rnacentral:rRNA from 1 species
AUUGAACGCUGGCGGCAGGCCUAACACAUGCAAGUCGAGCGGAUGAAGGGAGCUUGCUCCUGGAUUCAGCGGCGGACGGGUGAGUAAUGCCUAGGAAUCUGCCUGGUAGUGGGGGAUAACGUCCGGAAACGGGCGCUAAUACCGCAUACGUCCUGAGGGAGAAAGUGGGUGAUCUUCGGACCUCACUCUAUCAGAUGAGCCUAGGUCGGAUUAGCUAGUUGGUGGGGUAAAGGCCUACCAAGGCGACGAUCCGUAACUGGUCUGAGAGGAUGAUCAGUCACACUGGAACUGAGACACGGUCCAGACUCCUACGGGAGGCAGCAGUGGGGAAUAUUGGACAAUGGGCGAAAGCCUGAUCCAGCCAUGCCGCGUGUGUGAAGAAGGUCUUCGGAUUGUAAAGCACUUUAAGUUGGGAGGAAGGGCAGUAAGUUAAUACCUUGCUGUUUUGACGUUACCAACAGAAUAAGCACCGGCUAACUUCGUG